rnacentral:rRNA from 1 species
GGAAGUAAAAGUCGUAACAAGGUUUCCGUAGGUGAACCUGCGGAAGGAUCAUUACCAAUCUUAGCGGACCUUGGCUUGUCCAUGGUCUCGCGAAACCUGUAUUUAAAACCCAACUCGUAAUAAAAUAAACACUUAUCAUUAUGAUGUAUAAAUAAAGAUCACUUUCAACAACGGAUCUCUUGGCUCUCGCAUCGAUGAAGAACGUAGCGAAGUGCGAUAAGUAGUGUGAAUUGCAGAAUUCCGUGAAUCAUCGAAUCUUUGAACGCAAAUUGCACUCCCUGGUAUCCCGGGGAGUAUGCCUGUUUGAGGGUCGGUAUAAGUAAUGAUCGAUGUGUUGCUUUUCGCGACAUUUUCGGAUUUGGGUUUUCUUGAUUCUCCAAGAGACCUGAAAUUGAUGUUGUCUUGCGCAUCAUUGACGUGUAAUUUUUUUAUGUCGUCUUAGGAUGCCAGGCUUUUACUAGGUGUGAUCAUGUCGUUGAGCUCACGCCUAUACGUAUCUCGUUUUCUGACCUCAAAUCAGGUAGGGACACCCGCUGAACUUAAGCAUAUCAAUAAGCGGAGGAA